AUUGAACGCUGGCGGAAUGCUUUACACAUGCAAGUCGAGCGGCAGCGCGGGGGCAACCCUGGCGGCGAGCGGCGAACGGGUGAGUAAUACAUCGGAACGUGUCCUUAAGUGGGGGAUAGCUCGGCGAAAGCUGGAUUAAUACCGCAUAAGCUCUGAGGAGGAAAGCGGGGGCUCCGUAAGGACCUCGCGCUGUUGGAGCGGCCGAUGUCGGAUUAGCUAGUUGGUGGGGUAAAGGCCCACCAAGGCGACGAUCCGUAGCUGGUCUGAGAGGAUGAUCAGCCACACUGGGACUGAGACACGGCCCAGACUCCUACGGGAGGCAGCAGUGGGGAAUCUUGCGCAAUGGGCGAAAGCCU
rnacentral:rRNA from 1 species